rnacentral:rRNA from 1 species
GACGUAGGGCGCAAGCGUUGUCCGGAUUUAUUGGGCGUAAAGAGCUCGUAGGCGGCUUGUUGCGUCGUCCGUGAAAACCCGCAGCUCAACUGCGGGCUUGCGGACGAUACGGGCAGGCUGGAGUUCGGUAGGGGAGACUGGAAUUCCUGGUGUAGCGGUGAAAUGCGCAGAUAUCAGGAGGAACACCGGUGGCGAAGGCGGGUCUCUGGGCCGAUACUGACGCUGAGGAGCGAAAGCGUGGGGAGCGAAACGG